rnacentral:rRNA from 1 species
GAUGAACGCUGGCGGCGUGCCUAAUACAUGCAAGUCGAGCGAACAGACGAGGAGCUUGCUCCUCUGACGUUAGCGGCGGACGGGUGAGUAACACGUGGAUAACCUACCUAUAAGACUGGGAUAACUUCGGGAAACCGGAGCUAAUACCGGAUAAUAUAUUGAACCGCAUGGUUCAAUAGUGAAAGACGGUUUUGCUGUCACUUAUAGAUGGAUCCGCGCCGCAUUAGCUAGUUGGUAAGGUAACGGCUUACCAAGGCAACGAUGCGUAGCCGACCUGAGAGGGUGGUCGGCCACACUGGAACUGAGACACGGUCCAGACUCCGACGGGAGGCAGCAGUAGGGAAUCUUCCGCGAUGGGCGAAAGCCUGACGGAGCAACGCCGCGUGAGUGAUGAAGGUCUUCGGAUCGUAAAACUCUGUUAUUAGGGAAGAACAAAUGUGUAAGUAACUAUGCACGUCUUGACGGUACCUAAUCAGAAAGCCACGGCUAACUACGUG